rnacentral:lncRNA from 1 species
AUAACAGCACUGACGUUGCUAAAUGUCACGAAGUGAAGCUGAUGAAGUUGCUUCAUGUGCUUGUUCCAGUGUCCCUUUGGAGCUGGAGUCCCUGUGUUCACAGGCAUCAUCCAGGUUCAUCAGACAGCCAAAUCUUCAGCGUGGCAAAGUUGUUCCCAGUCAUUUCUCUGUUUAUUUUCAAUUUCCCAUCCUAUCAGCUCGAACCAAGGUGGGAGGAGGUAAAGCAACUAGAAGGGGCAGUUUUUAAGGUUUCAACUGAGUAGAAGGUAAGAAAAUAUAAUAAAUUUUAUUUCAUGUCUUCUUGCCAAUUGUUAGAAAUGUGCAGUCCAUAUGAAUUCAUAUAACAAGGAGGGAAUGUUGGGAAAACCAAUAAAGAUUUUGUGGUCUUAACUAUAAUGAAUGUAGUUUGAUAUAGAGUCUGUUUUUCACUGCAUGGCAAAAUGAAUCAUAAAAUACUGGACCUUGAAACUCCUGCAUUUUUUAACAAUAGCCUGGGGACAGUUUACAGUGUAAUGAAUUGUAAUUAACCCACCUUCAAAAUCUUUUAUGAGUAUUUUGCCAAUUAGCUUCGCAUGCUUGCUAAUGACUCAUGGCCAGCGCAUGUCUUUGCAGAGCCGGGUUUUACAGAGCAGGGUUUUACAGCGCACGCCGGCCUGUUCAGUCAGCGCAGGGACGCAGGACGGGGAGGCAGGCACAGACAGAGAAACCCAAAGAGCAAAGUAUUUUGCAAAAGCUGUGUGGUUGGAAGGUCUUUGAACUGCUUAACACCAGGAGGAGAUGAAAAGCUCACAGGACAGGUUGUUCUCUGGAGGCUCUCGGCCCAAUCUGCAGGAGCUGAGGCAGUUCGGGUGCAUUUGGGGGGUGGACUGAGGGAGGAAACAUUCAGGUACUUUUCAACUAUGCAACCAAACCAUUUGUCACUUGUCUAGACGCAUGUUUCAGAAGGGAAUAAAAUAAAAGAAAGAAAAAUACCA